rnacentral:tRNA from 1 species
UGCGUUGUAGCUAAGUGGUAAAGCUUUGGUUUUUGAUAUCAACAUGCAAAGGUUCGAAUCCUUUCAAUGCAA